UUAGGGAAUUCGAGUACCCUUGGAAGAUUUUGAGCAACGGGUGACAUUGUCCUGCUAAAACAAGAUCACUGAGGCUCCUGUGUUGAGAAUUGACAUUUUGUGAGCAAAAAUUUGGAAGCGAUGGAGGAAAUACAAGCAAGAAACCUCAAGACCUGGAAGGUUGCAUCGGCAAUAUCUACCAAACAUUUAAAAAGAAACAUUACCAAUUCUACAAAUUACUUCCAGCAAACAGAAGAGAAGGAUCCCAUGGAAGAUACUUUGGUACAUUUAUCCACCAUGUCUUCUUAGGCGCCUCUAGAUUAUGCCAGUUUCUCAGACUUGUUUUUGGUGAUCUCAACAUGCUUUUAAUUUAUCUUCUGCUUUUCUUUAACUUUGUUAAAAACUUUCAUGUAUUAAUGAAAUAGUGUAAUGAUACUAUUUUUAU